UACAGAGGUCGCAAGCGUUGUUCGGAUUCAUUGGGCGUAAAGGGUGCGUAGGCGGCGCGGUAAGUCGGGUGUGAAAUCUUGGAGCUUAACUCCGAAACUGCAUUCGAUACUGCCGUGCUUGAGGACUGGAGAGGAGACUGGAAUUUACGGUGUAGCGGUGAAAUGCGUAGAUAUCGUAAGGAAGACCAGUGGCGAAGGCGGGUCUCUGGACAGUUCCUGACGCUGAGGCACGAAGGUCAGGGGAGCAAACGGG
rnacentral:rRNA from 1 species